AUGUACAUUUUCCUUGUUUCGGGUUUUUUUUUGCCUUUUCUCUGCGGUGACUGUUCCAAACUGCUCCGUCCGCUCUCCUGCAUCCCAUGGGAAGUGGCCAGGGAGGUGACUUGUGCAGGGAAAAACAUACUGAGCAAUGCAGGGCCAAGCUGUCAGUGGGUAGAGUUUGGGACAGAGAGGAGAGAGACGGAGGGGACGGAGAACAGGAGGGGUGCCAGGAUAAGGGACUGGGUCAGCCUGGAGGUAUUUUUGUGGCUGCAGCCCAAAGUAAGCCAAGGCAGAGUGCCCAGUCCUGAGGGUGCAACUGCAAGGGGGAUAGCAACCCCAGAGUGCAGGAGGGUGACAGAGGGACAGAGGUGGUGGGGAGCAGGGUAGCAGGAGGCUGGCAGGGGGACAGAGAGCCCGGGGUGGCCAGGCGUGGAUGGGUUUUCAGGUUGGCAGGGGAGUGAAGGCAGUGGGAAGGAGGGCAGGAGUGUUUUGAGGGGCGCUGCAGCCCCUUAGGGAGGGGUACAGGGCAGGUUUAGGCUCAAUGCUGCCAGUGCAAGGAGCAGGAAUAGCCCCAGAGCUCAGGAAGGUGCCUUGGCUGCCACUUGGAUGCCACGGGUCCUGUGAGGCAUGGGGACUUCGACCUCUUGCUGCUGGGAAAAGCCACCCAUCCCUGUGGGAUGGAGCAGAGCCACUCCAGACCUGUGCCAGGCUGAGGGCUGAGGUGGCUGCUGUGAGCAGGGAGACAGAGCAGCGGGGGGAAGAGAGGGAAAAAUCCAAGGCCAGGCACUGGCAAAUCAUGCCAGGGCUGUGCUGGGGGUCUCUGGCCGAGUUCUCAUAUGUAGCAUGUUUUGUUGUUUUGUAGGUUUUUGGGGUUUUUUUUGUUUUGUUUUUUUUUUUUCUUCUGUUUCACUCACUGAUCUAAAACUCUGGGAAUGAAAACUCAAAACUCCCCCACCAUAAAACACAGGCGUGCCCCACUCCCAGCCCCGAUGGGGGACGAAGCUCUUCGUUAACUGGACCGGUUUGUGCCUCCAUCCCUCCCUCCCUCCUGCCUGCACCGAGCCCAGGGCUCACACUGCACCCCACGCACACAGAGUGGUGCCCCCAGCAGCCCUGGCUGGGGUUUAGUCAUGAUCCCAGAGACACUUUCUCAACUCCCCCCAGCCCCUCUGUUCUCCUCCAGUGUAUUUAUGAAUUUCACAUGAAGUACUGUUUUAUUUUUUUAAAGACUUUGUAAAGCUUACCAGGGUUACAAUCACCAUUUUUAGAGCUGUGUCAAUCCACAAUGUUAAAAAUCCAUUUUUUUAAUGUAUUAUAUUUUUUGUGUAUUUUUUUUAAUCCAGCUGUGAUGGGUUGUAUCAUAUAUUUGUUGUGUUUACUGUAUCUGUCCAAAGAGAGGAGACUGUGGAGCUCCGACAAAACUACGGUCUGCUGAAAAAAAAAACCAUUAAAAUUAUUUGUUCAUGGGUUGGCUCAAGCCGUUCUGAAAUUCAUAUUUUAUUUUUGGGGAUUUUCUUCAGCAUGAAGAAAAUGAGAGCUGCCACGUCCCAUGGAUAACGCUUCUCCUGGGACCCCAAUUCUGGGUACCAGGAUGCCGCAUCCAGCUGCGUUUUGCUCUAGUUUGCAUCACUGCUGCAGGGUUGGGUUGGCCGUGGUAGAUGCUUCCCUGCAGCAUUGCUGGGUUCAGGAGCACACUUUUUUUUUGGGAUCACGGGGUGGCAGAGGGCUGGUCUGUCCCAUCCACGGCUGGUGCGUCCCAUCCUACACUCAGGCGACACAGGCCUUUCAUCCGCCCCGUCCUGCGAGCCGCCCGUACCCCACUAUCCCUCCCGCAGCCGCGGCGCGCCCCCCCCCCCCCCCCCCCCCCCCCCCCCCCCCCCCCCCCCCCCCCCCCCCCCCCCCCCCCCCCCCCCCCCCC
ensembl:lncRNA